rnacentral:lncRNA from 1 species
CUAAAAUAGGAUGGAAAAUUAAACUGAAGAUAUAAGGAAGAAAAGAACGAAUAUGUAAAAUAGAAAGAAACAUAUAAAAUAGAAACAAAAAAAGCUAAAAUAUAAAAAAGAAAGAAAAUAAAGAAAAUGAUGUAAGAAGUUGUGAGAAAGAAGCUUAGAGUAGAAAUGAAAAGUUUAUGUAGAAAUAAAAAAAAUAUAAAAAUUGGAAGCAAGAAGCUUAGAGAAAAGAGCAAGAAUAUGCCAACAUUACAGAUAGAAAAAGAAGCUGCUGCUCAUUAAAAUAUAGAAAAGAAGCUGCAAGAAGCUGACAAAGAAAAAAGAGGAAAGAAAGAGAAGCAAGAACAGAAAGAUAAGAAAGAGAAGCAAAAUAGAAAGAGUGCUGACAUUGAAGCAAGAAAGUGCCGAAAGAAAAAUGGAAAAAGAAAGAGAAGCAAGAAAGCAAGGUGAAGCAAAGAUAGUGCCGAAAGAAAAGUGGCCGGUGAGGGAGAAAAGAAGAUGCAGAAGAAAAAUGGCUGGUGAGAGAUAUAUAAAGAAUGUAUCUUGGUGGCUAAGUUUUGUAUUAAUGAGCUCUGCAUUAAUUGUUGUCAUUGAGCCCCACAAUAAUUAUAUGUAUAGUAUUAGAUAUGUCAGGAAUCGUACAAAAAUAAUCUGAAAAAGAUAUGUUGAACAGUAAAAAAAUUUAUUGAGUCAUUUAUUGCAGCCACAAUUUUGCAGCACAAAGCACGUGCAAAUAAGACAAAAAAGAAUAUUGGCUGAAAUGCAAUUUGGCGGGAAAGUGGGUGUGUAUUUUGGUGCAUUGUUUUUGUGUUUUUAUAUAUUAAGUAGAUGCUAUCAUGUAAGCUAUCAUGUAACCCCACUGCAGCAUCUUUACACCAUGUGAUCCCCCAUCAUAAAUUAGGCUAUCAUGUAAGCUAUCAUGUAACCCCA